CUACAUAAAGACUUGGAUGGGACAGCCCUGAACCCAAAUGCACCACGGAUCACUUCACCAACCUGCAGCUGCGGACGCUCUACUGGACUUAAAACUGGCAUUAACAAAGCGACACUGGCAUGAGCAGGAAGACCGAGAGUAGAAGAGUAACUGCAGGGAAAAGUGCAACUAUUAAGUAUAAAUGAAUCUGGAAAGACCUUUUGAAAAUUAAGGUCACCCAUCAAUCACUUUGCACCAACAGCGCCUCUGUCUGCAGAAAACCUUGUCCUCCAGAGCUGUGGAGUGUGACAAUGGUGUUUGUUUCCUCUUCGUCAAACGCCAUUAUCACACUAAAUAGCUACAGUGUGAAAAGCCCCUCGACGUACCCCUUCACUUUUGGGUUUAAGUGUUGUUGUGUUUGUGGUGUGUGGGGUUUUUUUUUCUGUUUUUUUUUUCUAAAUUUUAAUCCUCUUAUUAAAUCUGUUGUACAAACUGUAAAGCAAGACUGUAUAUCAGCUGUGCCAAUGACUCUGUGCACAUUACACCAGGGCAGGAGAUGGAAAUAGACAUUUGGUGUGUUUAUGCAUCAUAUCUGAUGCUGAGCCUCUGAGUGUGACCCACUUUCUUUUUGGAUUCAAGGUGCUAAUUUGCUGCUGGAGACCUUAAAACAGACCUUGGUUUACUACUACUGAUGCCAGCUUUGUAAAUGUAAAGCUUAUUGCACAUUUGUCUCUGUUUACCAUAAAUAAAGUGCUUUUGAUCUGUUGCUGA